CUACGCACUCCUACGGGAGGCAGCAGUGGGGAAUAUUGCACAAUGGGCGCAAGCCUGAUGCAGCAACGCCGCGUGAGGGAUGAAGGCCUUCGGGUUGUAAACCUCUUUAGCAGGGAAGAAGCGAAAGUGACGGUACCUGCAGAAAAAGCACCGGCUAACUACGUGCCAGCAGCCGCGGUAAUACGUAGGGUGCAAGCGUUGUCCGGAAUUAUUGGGCGUAAAGAGCUCGUAGGCGGUUUGUCACGUCUGCUGUGAAAAUCCAAGGCUCAACCUUGGACUUGCAGUGGGUACGGGCAGGCUAGAGUGCGGUAGGGGAGAUGGGAAUUCCUGGUGUAGCGGUGGAAUGCGCAGAUAUCAGGAGGAACACCAAUGGCGAAGGCACAUCUCUGGGCCGUAACUGACGCUGAGGAGCGAAAGCGUGGGGAGCGAACAGGAUUAGAUACCCUGGUAG
rnacentral:rRNA from 1 species